rnacentral:lncRNA from 1 species
GAAGGUCGACCGAUAGCGAAAUUCGAAAGGUGCUAUAGAAGGUUGACCGAUAGAAGAGUCCAGAAUGCAUUGUGGAAGUUCGUUCGCUGGAGGAGUUUGGAGGAUACUGUGGAAGGUCGACCGCUGGAGGGGUCUGGAGGGAAUUUAUCCAUUGGAGGGGUUUGGUUGACACUGUUGAAGUCCGAUUGGUGCUGUUGAAGGUUGAUGGCU